UACGGAGGGUGCGAGCGUUAAUCGGAAUUACUGGGCGUAAAGCGCACGCAGGCGGUUAUAUAAGCUAGAUGUGAAAGCCCCGGGCUUAACCUGGGAGAGUCAUUUAGAACUGUAUAACUAGAGUUUUGGAGAGGGGAGUGGAAUUCCAGGUGUAGCGGUGAAAUGCGUAGAUAUCUGGAGGAACAUCAGUGGCGAAGGCGGCUCUCUGGCCAAAAACUGACGCUCAUGUGCGAAAGCGUGGGUAGCGAACAGG
rnacentral:misc_RNA from 1 species